AAGAGUUGAUUGAUUUUGAAAUCAAAUUGGAAUAGGUAAAUUAGUUUAUUUGACUCGUGAAACUAUCAUUUACUCUCACUUCAUCUUUUGAAACUGGUUUCGUCUAUUUUGUCCCAUGAAACUGUCAUUUUUGUCUUCAAUUCAUCCCAUUUUCCAUUCCAUCAAAUAUAUGUUAAAUUAAAGAAUGACAUUUUAUUUUUUAUACAACUCUUUGCCUUCAACUUGAAUACUAAAGUAACCCCAAUUUCUUAAUUGAUUUCUCUCUGCGAGAGCUAUUCCCUCCGACCCUUCUACUUCUCCAUCUGAUUGCCAUUUUGAGAGUCGACGGCUUGGAAUUUUUCUUUUUACCUUCUGCCUUCUUUUCAUACCAUAGUCCCCAUCUUGUAGCCCCUUUCCCUCAACCCCACCCCUUCCAUUUCUCCAUCACCAACCUACACAUCAAUCAAUUUCAACCAUUUUCUUCUGCACAAUCUUCCUUCUUCCUUACCCAAAAAUUAGAUCUUAAAGUUUUGGACCUAAUUUGGAAUUUCGAUUGUUGUACUUUAAGAUUUGAUUUUGGCUUAGGGUGUGCUUGCCAUUUUUGGGUUGAUUUUGUUGUGCCUUGGUAUUUGCAGAUCCACUUUGGUUUUGGUUGCUCCAUGGCAGCUACUCCGAUGGGUGAUGGCCGGAGACAUGCGACGUUGGGCUGGUUCUACUUAAUGGGGACUAAGUGGUUGGUCGGAUCGUUCAAGAGUCAUGUUUGACUUAUCCUUUGAUCGCUUGAAGAUGACGCCUAUUGCUAGUUCCGGUUGGAUGCUACAAUACCAUCUUCUACAGAUCACUUGUUGAGGCUUCGGUCUCCUCUUUGGUUCACCAGCUUCUGGCGGCGGCGGUUGCAGGAAGAUUGAAGAAGUUGCUAGGGUUUCUUGUCUUUUUCUUUUUUCUGGGCUCCAAUUUCUUUUGUUUUAUUUGUGGCCUCAUUUUUUGUAAACUUACUUGUUGGUAAUGAAAUGAACCUUGAACAAAAAAAAAAAAAAAAAAAAUGGUAAUCCCAAUUUCAUCGAAAACUCUAACUCAAACCCCUUGUCUCUUUUGCGGAUUAGUGUAGAGUUGUAGCUGCAGCCGUUGGUAAAAGCAAAUAAUUGUUUGGGUUUUAAAAGCAAAUAAUGGUUUGGGUUUUAAAAGCAAAUAAUUGUUUGUAUUUUAAAAUCUAAUUCAAGCCUUGAAUUCAACUGCUCUACAACAGCUCUGCAUCAAUCUUCAAGAGAGAUGGACGGGAGUUUGAAUUAGAGUCAUCGAAAAUGGAAAUUGAGAUUGUUUUAGCAAACAAAUUGGA